UACAGAGGUCUCAAGCGUUUGUUCGGAUUCAUUGGGCGUAAAGGGUGCGUAGGCGGCGCGGUAAGUCGGGUGUGAAAUCUUGGAGCUUAACUCCGAAACUGCAUUCGAUACUGCCGUGCUUGAGGACUGGAGAGGAGACUGGAAUUUACGGUGUAGCGGUGAAAUGCGUAGAUAUCGUAAGGAAGACCAGUGGCGAAGGCGGGUCUCUGGACAGU
rnacentral:rRNA from 1 species